AAGAGUUAGGGUCUUCUAGGCCCGAUCUCCAACCCUUUGUAAAACUACCAUGUUGCUUUGGCGGGCCCGUCUUUAACCGGACCGCCGAGGGUUUUGUUUUAACCCUUGGCCAGCGCUCGUCAAUAGCCCACAAUUAAAUUCUUUUUAAUCAUGUUAAAUCUGAAAAAUAGUUAAAUAAACUA
rnacentral:misc_RNA from 2 species